AUGCAAAGGCGACGAGAAGGGUUUGUGGUGACUUUGCCUGGAAUGCUACCAAGUCAUGAGUUGUGACUUGAAGUCAUAACUUACGGGCUAAAAACUGAGUCUGGAACGCAGCAU